GACGAACGCUGGCGGCGUGCCUAAUACAUGCAAGUAGAACGCUGAAGAGAGGAGCUUGCUCUUCUUGGAUGAGUUGCGAACGGGUGAGUAACGCGUAGGUAACCUGCCUUGUAGCGGGGGAUAACUAUUGGAAACGAUAGCUAAUACCGCAUAACAAUGGAUGACACAUGUCAUUUAUUUGAAAGGGGCAAUUGCUCCACUACAAGAUGGACCUGCGUUGUAUUAGCUAGUAGGUGAGGUAAUGGCUCACCUAGGCGACGAUACAUAGCCGACCUGAGAGGGUGAUCGGCCACACUGGGACUGAGACACGGCCCAGACUCCUACGGGAGGCAGCAGUAGGGAAUCUUCGGCAAUGGGGGCAACCCUGACCGAGCAACGCCGCGUGAGUGAAGAAGGUUUUCGGAUCGUAAAGCUCUGUUGUAAGUCAAGAACGGGUGUGAGAGUGGAAAGUUCACACUGUGACGGUAGCUGACCAGAAAAGGACGGCUAACUACGUG
rnacentral:rRNA from 1 species